UUCCCUGUCUCGAAACGCGUCUGUCACGAUGACUGUAGUACUGUAGCCUCUCCGAGCACGAUUGUCCUCCUGCCGUCGUUUUGUUUAAACCGGGAUGCCAGCCCGUUCUGUUCGAAAUCGGCAAAAGAAUCCUACUCCAACGAAGCGCGCACUAUGGCCCGUUUCUUUUUUUUUUUUUUUUACAUAUGGAAACUAGACAGACACGUCAAGGCGAGUCGUUAUCGCGAUCCCGAGUUCACUGGUUGCGAAAAUAACGAUAAACCGCGUGGCAAGCGUCGUCGGCUGACGAUCGAAGACUCGCGUAACCGUCGAAGGUGGACGACGGUUUCCGCAGUGGAUUUAAACGUCGAACUGAGAACGAUGUGUCGUCCCGUCCCGAUGCAGUUGCGACGUCUGAUCAGGAUGGUAUGAGAAUCGCUUAAUUAUCCUGUACAAGGAAUCGCAAGAACUCUUCACGGUAUCCAAUCAAUAUUGAUGGAGCCUCAUAAUUUCAAUCUCUAUGAAUAAUUCCACGAAUGUGUGACCGGUACGAGCAUCGUCGGGCCGACUAUCACCUGUAAACCCCCUCCAACAGACCGAAGACACCUUGCCGAGCAACCUGAAUUUUAAAGAUGCUUCGGAACAAGCUGAUUGCCCGUUUUUGCCGUUUCUUUCCCAACCCGCGGCUCAAUUGGCGAUUUCGUGCAGGAACAGUGGCGGCCUAAUUGCGCCCAAAUUUGUACGGGAGAUCAAUCUCGCGAAACGGUGGCGAGCCGUUAUUCGCGAAAUGAAAGAAAGAAAGGGGGAAAAAGCGAUGGCAAGAAAGCAUCAUUGGCAACCACGGGUAGGACAAUUGAACCAGAAGUCGAGAGGCGAACGUGGCCGGACGACGUAAUUAAAUUGAAAUUGGCCGUGUUUUACUGUGGCCGGUUAAGUGAAUAUUCUUAUCACGUUGGUGAACAAGCGGUCCUUGCUAAAUAUUCAUCGUGUGUGCCCAGGAGAACGUGGUCCGCCAAGACAGAGAGAAGGAGAGAGUCGGAGGGAGAAACAAGGCGGGUCUCUUCUUGAAUGUGAAGGCAUUUUACCGCCACACGAUUGUGUUCAUGGAUGGCAGCACGAUACAGUCUGAAUUAUGUUAGCGCGGUGACGCGCGUGUGCCGCAAGCUUUUUCUGCCUGUCCUGACUUCGUUUCGCAUCAUAACAGCCGCCAGAGAACACUUCGUUUCAACUCACCGUCCGAGGACAACGCCAGUGGCAGCAGGUCACCGGCAGCUUUCAGUUGAUCGAAUUUUUCUAUCAGCAACAGCAACCUGAAACAGCAUACGGAGGAUCAGCAAAUCAGCAUUUAUAAGUUCGUACACUUAUGGCAAAAAUAGUUGCACAAAAGAUCCUCCACUCGUGUAUACUUUAAACAAAUCCAUCACAUUAUAACACAGUCAAAGAGAAUAAAAGAUUUGCAAGUUCUGUAUCAUGUAAAUUUUGCAUUGCUUUCAGUCAUACAUUUUUGCAUUUUCUGAUAUAGCUCACUCUAUAAUUACGCUCUUUAUAAAUGUUGCUUUGUACUGGAGGACUAUUAUCUAAAGAGGCAACAGCUAAAGCAUGUUAUGCCUCAACCUAACAAUUAGGUAGGCAGCGCAUGUAUAUAGUUCAACAAUUAAACGUGGACAAGUAGAGAGAAGUCUGGCAGUUGUGUAAGUGAGUCUUCUAGAGUAUCUCUUGGAACAAUGCUCAAAAUAAUUAAGGAACACCCACUCGAGUGACUUCAUCGCUUAUCGAGCUAUUCAAUAUCGAAGUUGAAGCAUGAUCUAAUACUUUAAGGAACUAGAUCAACUGCAAUGUAGACUUCCUUGUAUCCUGCACAUAAUGGUGCAAUCUUUAGCAAGAUCAAAAACAGUAAUCGAAUUAGAUAGCUUCUUAAUUGUUUUAAUUCUUGUGCAUAAAAUCUGUCAUAUCCCUGUAAUUAUACUGUAAUUCGUGCAUAUUUAGAAUAUAAGAUUAUCAAUAAAGCCGCAGGAGGAUGUUUAAUGCAGCUAUUUCUGCGGAGCUUAGGGCGAAACAUAGCAGACGUUGUUGCUAUUGCUUGUAAAAUUCAUUCAGUGAGAUUUCCAUGAAUCGAUCACCUCCUCACUUACUUAGCUUGCGGUACGUUGUGUUUCCUCUGCAGGUCAACGCGCAGCCGUUCGCCAACAUGCCUGUAGAUGUCUGCUAACGUGUUCAUGGCAGUCUCCCGGACUUUUUCGGAUGGGUCCGAGAGCAGUUUCACGAUACUUGGAAUCACGCCCGACAGCAUCAUUUCGUCCGCGCCAUGCCUGUAAAAGGAUUUAUCGUGGCAAUUAAGGAAUCAAAUUUUUUCCGCUGCUGCAAAGGAAUUUGUGAUUUCUGGCAAACACACGAAACGAUUCCUCUCUGUUCCAAUCGCAUUACAACGGUAUUACUCUGAUACCCUUUUUUUUUGCUCUACCGUGAUUAAGAAAUGCGGAAUGCUUUAAAAUCUUGGAAGAUUUUCCUCUUACACGGACUUAAUGAUCUUAAAUGUGUGCAACAACUCAAUUUGUAUAUUUAAUUCUGUAUGCUGCUUAAAUGAUUAUUCUAAUGAUCUUUGAAA